rfam:Sarcophilus harrisii ctg7180002523461, whole genome shotgun sequence.
AAGGAGGGAUGGGUGCUUCACCAGUUUUCUGGAAGAAUUCUACUCUCAGCCACAAAGGAUUGGAUCCCCUAGAGCUACGGAGAUUUGGCAGCAAAAUUUUGCCACAGG